CAGAAAUUUCAUGAUAUUAGCAGAUCAUUGUCAAAAGAAUACAUAACAUUCACAUUUAUAUGAAGACUAUUCCCGUCCAAAAGUGAACAUGGCUGUGAAGAAAUAUAGAGAGAGAGGGGAAGAAAAGAACUACAUCGUAGGGUUUUUUACAGCUCAUCAAUGCAUAUUAUCUAUCACCUAGUUCAAAUGGAUGAGAAGUAGUGCAAACAAAUUUAAUGAAUUACAAAGAAGAAUAAACAAUGUGGGAUAAGAAGGAAUUGCAGUACAGAAAAUUCAACUGAAUUCCUUCUCGUGUGCUUAAUCAAUCAACUGACCUUUAAUUUUGCACAGAGAGACAGGAAGACCAUUUGGGUUGUAUCCUAGUUGCAUUCUCAUUCACUUAGAUUGCAGCUUCGAAGGUAUGGAUGAUCAUACUUAAUGUAUUUGGUCCAGUAUGACCGGUACUUUGUCAUUGCUAUCUCCAACCAUGGCUUCAUGUUGCCGUUAUAGUGGAUAACUGCUGCAUUUUCAAUAUCUGACCGAUCACCGCUUGGAUUGUAACCCAAACCAAGCACAUGCCAUGACUUCUCAAGUGGAUGUGUCAGACCAUAAAAUGUAAUCAGGCCUGGAGGCAAUGUUCCAAGCUUCCAAAGUACCCUAUCUUCAUUCAUGUUUUGCCACUUGUGAUAUAUGCCAGUGAUAUCCCUCUUUUUCCAUUCCUUAAGAUCAAAAAUAUUCAUCCCAUAUGCCCAACCACAAGCAUUUGGAUCAAAGUUUCUUGCAAUAUGAGGAUUUGAGAAGUUUAGGUACUUGUCAAACCGAUGGAAGCUUUCACCACAGGUUUCCACUGCCCCAUUCACUUUUCCAUUCAGAUUUACUGACCAUAAUCCAGUUAAAUCUUUCUGAACAACAAUGUCAUCAUCGAGAAACAGGAUCUUAUCUAACUUGGGAUAGACCUGUGGAAGGUAGAACCUCAGGUGGUUCAGCAUUGAAAGAUACUUUGGGUUCCGAUACUUCAAGUUUGAAGAACCGGAUGAAAGCGAGGUUGGAUGAUUUGCCUUAAAGUAAUACUCUUUCAUUGCAGCAGACUCGAGCUGCCGCAGAACUGGACAAUAGGAUGAGUUAAGCCACUUGAAUUCAUCAACAUUUUCAACAUGGAUAGUGGCUUUUCCAGGAGGGUUCAAUAGAAACCACAUAUUCAUAGCUCCAAAGUUAAGCUUAUCAGUAACAAGAUGGAACACAUGCUUGGAAGGAUCCUUGGCAUUCAUGAUGGUUGAGUUGACAACUACUGAUGCAGCCAAGACAUUGUCAGAGAAGAGAGCAUAAUGAUAAAGAUCAGGAUUUUCAAAAUUCUCACUUCUAGGGAACCUUCUCUUCUCUAGAGGAAGGAGAUAGUAUUCUAUUGUUAGGCGCAUAGACAAGCAAUGAAUUCCAUUGGGUACCGUUUUGGCAGCUAACUGACUCAGGAAUGUGCUCUGUUUUUUUAAGCUCCUAACUUGCUCAUCUGCUGUUUGAAGCAUCGCUCUGAGCUUUCCAGUGAUCAACUUGCAGUCGUACAAUUGUUCUCUCACUUUUGACAGAACUUGGCCCAUAGCUUUCAUUUUCUCAGGUGCACUGUGAUGCAGAUCAGAAUCAGCCAUUGCCUCUCCUAGGGCACGCUGACUCUCCUUGAGCCGAAUCUGUAGUUCAUGGAGCAAGUCAAGCUUGUUCUUCAUCUUUGCAAUGCUGAUAUAUACCCUUGCCAUUAUCAUCUGAUCCCGCAUUAAGCGUACUGUUGAAUCAGAGUUCUCAUUCUCAUUUUCUUUCCGCCAUAUACUGUACUUUCCCAGAACUGCAGUGUCAACUGAUUUAGUGCGUUCAAUGGCUGAAUUUUCAAGCUUUAAAAUCGCUUCAUUAUCUUGCCGCACCAAGUCAGCCACACGCUUUUCCCGUCUUUUUUCUCUCAAUUGCUGCAUAAUCUCUCAAAAAAUGAAAGUUAUAAUUCAGACACUGGCAGAUGCAUGACUAAGUUGGAAGUCCUUAAAUAUUUCCUAGUUUAACUCUAUGGAUUAUACUAGGCCUUAAGACACAUGCAAGAAUGCAGAAUAAACCGGGUAACUGCUAUUAAUGCGUACAAGGAUGAUACUUACCCUUCGAGCUAGUUUAGCAGGUGCGUCAAUGAAUUGAGAAUGAUCAUCUGCAGGGGGCAAACAGAUUAGCACCAGAUCAAAAUGCAAUCCAUAAACAUUUGCAAAUAGUUAAUUGACACUAAUACCAGAGAUGCCAUCCCCUUUGCCCCUUGGUGCCUCUUGCUUAGCAACUGUUGCUGUUUUCUGUGACUAUAAAGGUGAUGACAACCCAAAACCAUCAAUAUCAACAAGCUGACUGAUGAAAUGAAUUUUACACGAAAGAUAGAACGAAAGUGAUCCAGAAGAUAUAGAAAUUUCCAUCAGAUUGAAGCCAGAGCAUUAUAUACUUAUCCUUACCUCAGAAGUGGUAUUGUUCUUGACUGAUGUCUCUACCCCUGUAACUUUCCAUGAAGCUGAUAAAUUGUUUUUUCUGAAAGAAUCAAUACUUAAAGGCCCCAUAUCAGCUGUGCUGGCUGUGAUAACAUCAAUGACGUCUUUUGAAAGAAGGGAUUUAACAUGUUGCAAGGCCAGCCGCUCUCUCCAAUCCAAGUCCUGCUUACUUGAAGCAACUGGAAUAUUACUUUGAUCAAUGGAAGCAUUUGUGUAAAGACCUCGACCGACAAAGAAAAUCAACGGCGCCAAAACAGAGAAGAAAAUGACAAGUGCAAUAGGCAAUCGAGAUCCACCGCCUCGGUUCUUGUGGAUGCCGGCACCGGAUAAUCCCCGCUUCAACGCCAUUGCCUAUCAAAACCUAAAACUCAUAUAACAAAGAAAGAAAGGACUGAAAAAGAAAGAAAAAGAAAGGAAAUGAGAAUUACGAGAGCAAUUGAGAAGAGAUCUAGCGAGAGUCCAUAAGGACAGAAAUCAAAGUGGUAAGAGAAGAAAACGCGUAAAUGCAGAGAAAUGGAUAAAGAAAGUUAGUUAUGAUUGCAGCCAAGCCAACUCCUGGAGGAGAAUUUUUGUAUUGUAGAACAAGAAGAAAGAUUGUUUGAUUAGGAUUAGUAAACAGAGAUUUUCCACUUUCGGAUUUUGCUGCUCUCCUCUCGCUGAUAUGAAUUGAGAUAUGUGGUCUGUGAGUAUCUCUCUUCUUUUUCUCUUCU
rnacentral:misc_RNA from 1 species